AUUGAACGCUGGCGGAAUGCUUUACACAUGCAAGUCGAACGGCAGCACGGGGGCAACCCUGGUGGCGAGUGGCGAACGGGUGAGUAAUACAGCGGAACGUGCCCAGUCGUGGGGGAUAACGUAGCGAACGUUACGCUAAUACCGCAUACGAUCUACGGAUGAACGCGGGGGACGGUAAGGCCUUGCGCGUUUGGAGCGGCCGGGGGCAGAUUAGGUAGUUGGUGUGGUAAAGGCUAACCAAGCCGACGAUCUGUAGCUGGUCUGAGAGGACGACCAGCCACACGGGGACUGAGACACGGCCCAGACUCCUACGGGAGGCAGCAGUGGGGAAUUUUGGAAAAUGGGCGCAAGCCUGAUCCAGCCAUUCCGCGUGCAGGAUGAAGGCCCUCGGGUUGUAAACUGCUUUUGUACAGAACGAAAAGGUUUCUACUAAUACUAGGAGCUCAUGACGGUACUGUAAGAAUAAGCACCGGCUAACUACGUGCCAGCAGCCGCCGUAA
rnacentral:rRNA from 1 species